rnacentral:rRNA from 1 species
UGGGGAAUCUUCCGCAAUGGACGAAAGUCUGACGGAGCAACGCCGCGUGAGUGAAGAAGGCCUUCGGGUUGUAAAGCUCUGUCUUUGGGGACGAACGUGCCUAUCAUAAAUAAUGAUAGGUAAUGACGGUACCUAAGGAGGAAGCCACGGCUAACUACGUGCCAGCAGCCGCGGUAAUACGUAGGUGGCAAGCGUUGUCCGGAAUUAUUGGGCGUAAAGCGCGCGCAGGCGGGAUAUCAAGUCUAUCUUAAAAGUUCGGGGCUCAACCCCGUGAUGGGAUGGAAACUGGUACUCUUGAGUGUCGGAGAGGAAAGUGGAAUUCCCAGUGUAGCGGUGAAAUGCGUAGAUAUUGGGAGGAACACCAGUGGCGAAGGCGGCUUUCUGGACUGUAACUGACACUGAGGCACGAAAGCGUGGGGAGCAAACA